GCCUGGCUGACUCAGUCAGUAGAGCAUGAAACUCUAAAUCUCAGGGUUGUGGGUUCGAGCCCCACAUUGGGCA
rnacentral:tRNA from 1 species